ACAUGUUGUGUUAAUUGCAUUCUUAGAAACCAGGUUUCAAGAAUGUGUUAACAAUUUUAAGUUUUACCCAAUCAGAAUGAAGAAACAGGAGUACACGUUCACAUGCACAUGCCCAUUUAUUUAUAUGACAAUUAGAAUAAGCAGAGAAUUAUGGGAAGCUGUGGAUUCCUGCUCACUUUACACACCCCCUUAGUCAAACUGUUGCUUUUGCUUCCUCUGCUCUAAUACUAAAGGAGCAGGAAACUUUUAGUUUAAGACUAAAUACUGUAGUGGAAUACUCAGUUCACAAACAAUCAUAGUAGUGCAAAAAAAACAAAAAAAAAAAACAAAGCCCAGUGUUUUGAGAACACAAUAAAGCACCUGCUUUUAGGACGGCAUUCUAUUUCCAAUGCUUUGAUAAAUUAUGCAUUUCUCAUUAAAUACAUCUUAUUUAAAAAAAUAAUAAGAUAAGGGCAAACUCAUAACUGCUGCAUCAUUUCCACACAAAAACCUAGGAAAAUCAGAGAGAAGUUUUUAGACCAGGUUAUCAGAUUACAUUCACUUUAGUUCACCGAAAAGUUCACUCAAACAGCAACUGUUAAAUGUCUGAAAAAACAUUAAGAGACGGCAAUAAAUCACUAAAUUUAAGUGCUCAACAGUCUAAGUUGAAACAUUUUCAUAUCUUAAAAAAAAAAGCCUCUUUCACUCUGACGUUUUGGCCUGUUUGGCAUCACUGUGGUCGCAAAUGUGGACUGGACUCGUUUCGAAAAUGCUGCAGCUUUCCUACUUUUUCCACAUGGGAAUUUGUUCAACCAGGUGGGCUGCUGACGGUGUCCCAGUUCUUGAGAUUUCUUUUUAUACUUGAAAAUGAUGCAGCAGUAACCUGGACAGAAUAAAAUCCCAACAGGCAGCUUACAAAAAAAAAAGUUUGAGAAGAAGGGUUUGUUUUGAACAGGCUGUGCAUGAAGACUUCAUGAGCAGGAGAAACCUUUUGGUUGGCAUGGUUAUAUAACCAUCCAAAAAUAUGGCACAGUAAUUGGACUGUCAGUAGGCCUUUUAUAUAUCAGACAGAGGAGAAGAAUAUGAAUUUAUAGAGUGAAUCACUGCCUAAAACCUUGACUUUCCUCAAGUUCGUUCAGCAGCUUCUUCAUAUAUUAUGGAAUGGUGAAAAGUUUAGCUGUAGAGUAAAUGACUGUUUAGCUGGAAUCUACUAAACUUCAGAGAAGUGGUUUGCAGCAACCUAAAUGUCACAAAUGCCUGCCUCCUCUUUUGGCCCAAACACGCAGACACAUCUCAAACAGUAACAUCCUUAACAAACAGGAGCCCCUCGAUUCGAAGCAAAACUAAAUAUUCACAUCACUAGAACCACAAUUUAUAAGCACAAAAA